rnacentral:tmRNA from 1 species
GGGGACGACAGGAAUCGACAGUUAUGUUUGUAUUUCGGUCGCGAGUCGAGGUGGCAUCAACCUCGCUAAUCAGGUGUCAAAAUAUUAACUGGCGAACGAAAAGUCGCCCUCGCCGCUUAACCGCGGUGACGUGGCUCUUCCUCUUCCUUCGACAGAAGAAGAAGCCGCGACAUAUUGUCGAAGUGCUUCAGUUGCAGCUUCUCCUAAGCGUCAACUGAUUAAGAAAAACUGGGAUGCGCUUGUCUCAUUGCAUGUCGUUGUGCAUAGCUAGCGUUAUAUAAGUAACGACUACACUCGUAGACGCCGUCUUGCGGCAUAAUCUGGACGGGGAGUUCGAUUCUCCCCCGUCUCCACCA